rnacentral:rRNA from 1 species
AUACGGAGGGUGCAAGCGUUAAUCGGAAUUACUGGGCGUAAAGAGUACGUAGGCGGUUUGUUAAGUUAGAUGUGAAAGCCCCGGGCUUAACCUGGGAACUGCAUUUAAAACUGGCAAACUUGAGUUGGGUAGAGGGAAGUGGAAUUUCAGGUGUAGCGGUGAAAUGCGUAGAGAUCUGAAGGAACACCAGUGGCGAAGGCGACUUCCUGGACUCAAACUGACGCUGAGGUACGAAAGCGUGGGUAGCAAACGGGAUUAGAAACCCCAGUAGUCC